UGGAUGGGGAUGAAAGAAAAACAUAAUCCAACACUUGAACUGAAGCAAAUGCUUUGUGAUGGAUCAUCGUUGUUUCUGAAUCUCA